rnacentral:rRNA from 1 species
AUGGAGGAGGAAGCGGGUCUGAUGGAGAGGAUGAAGCUCUCGGAGGAGGAAAGAAAGGGAGUGAAGAUUAGGUGGCCGGCGAGGGCGAGGACGGACAAGGGAGAAAUCCAGGCGAUUGGGAAGGUGUUGUCGGAGAGACCAGCGUACCCGGAUGCGAUCUGCUUGUCGUUAGGGAAGUGUUGGUGUCCUUUGAAGGGAGUUGACUGCAAAGAGCUGGGCAAGAACAUCUUCCUCUUCACUUUCAAACAAGAAUCAGGGAAGUGCAAAGCGCUGGAGGAUGGUCCGUGGAUGUUUGAUAAUGAUUUGGUGGUGAUGGUGGAUUUUGUGCCGAGUAAGCUGAUCGGGCAGUAUGUGUUCGAAGAGAUCCCGGUUUGGUUCAGAGUAUUUGGCUUGCCGUUGGGAGAGAUGGAGGAGGAGAUGGCAGAG